UACGUAGGGGGCAAGCGUUGUCCGGAUUUAUUGGGCGUAAAGAGCGUGUAGGCGGCUUUGCACGUCCGUUGUGAAAACUGGAGGCUUAACCUCCAGACGUCGAUGGAAACCGUAUGGCUAGAGUCCGGAAGAGGAGAGUGGAAUUCCUGGUGUAGCGGUGAAAUGCGCAGAUAUCAGGAAGAACACCCGUGGCGAAGGCGGCUCUCUGGGACGGUACUGACGCUGAGACGCGAAAGCGUGGGGAGCGAACAGG
rnacentral:rRNA from 1 species